ensembl:snRNA U6 U6 spliceosomal RNA
AUGCUCACUUCAGCAGCACAUACACCAAAAUUGGAAAAAUACAGAGAUUAGCAUGGCCCCUUUACAAGGAUGACACAAAUUCGAGAAAAUUAUUUUCUUUUC